CCAGUCUGCAUGGAGCCGACCUUGAAAUACCACCCUUUAAUGUUUGAUGUUCUAACGUUGACCCGUAAUCCGGGUUGCGGACAGUGUCUGGUGGGUAGUUUGACUGGGGCGGUCUCCUCCUAAAGAGUAACGGAGGAGCACGAAGGUUGGCUAAUCCUGGUCGGACAUCAGGAGGUUAGUGCAAUGGCAUAAGCCAGCUUGACUGCGAGCGUGACGGCGCGAGCAGGUGCGAAAGCAGGUCAUAGUGAUCCGGUGGUUCUGAAUGGAAGGGCCAUCGCUCAACGGAUAAAAGGUACUCCGGGGAUAACAGGCUGAUACCGCCCAAGAGUUCAUAUCGACGGCGGUGUUUGGCACCUCGAUGUCGGCUCAUCACAUCCUGGGGCUGAAGUAGGUCCCAAGGGUAUGGCUGUUCGCCAUUUAAAGUGGUACGCGAGCUGGGUUUAGAACGUCGUGAGACAGUUCGGUCCCUAUCUGCCGUGGGCGCUGGAGAACUGAGGGGGGCUGCUCCUAGUACGAGAGGACCGGAGUGGACGCAUCACUGGUGUUCGGGUUGUCAUGCCAAUGGCACUGCCCGGUAGCUAAAUGCGGAAGAGAUAAGUGCUGAAAGCAUCUAAGCACGAAACUUGCC
rnacentral:rRNA from 1 species